AUUGAACGCUGGCGGCAGGCCUAACACAUGCAAGUCGAACGAGUGGCGGACGGGUGAGUAAUGUCUGUGAAACUGCCUGAUGGAGGGGGAUAAUUACUGGAAACGGUAGCUAAUACCGCAUACCAUCGGAUGUGCCCAGAUGGGAUUAGCUAGUAGGUGGGGUAAAGGCUAACCUAGGCGACGAUCCCUAGCUGGUCUGAGAGGAUGACCAGCCACACUGGAACUGGAACAGGGUCCAGACUCCUACGUGAGGCGGCAGUGGGGAAUAUUGCACAAUGGGAGCAAGCCUGAGGCAGACAUGCCGCGUGGAGGAAGAAGGCCUUCGGGUUGUAAAGUACUUUCAGCGGGGAGGCGUUACCCGAAGAAGAAGCACCGGCUAACUCCGUGCCAGCAGCCGCGGUAAUAC
rnacentral:rRNA from 1 species